GCCUUCGUGGUGUAAUGGUAUCACACUCGGCGUGCGAUUCGAGAGGUCCAGGUUCGAGUCCCGGGAAGGGCA
rnacentral:tRNA from 1 species